rnacentral:rRNA from 1 species
GAUGAACGCUGGCGGCGUGCCUAAUACAUGCAAGUCGAGCGAACAGACGAGGAGCUUGCUCCUCUGACGUUAGCGGCGGACGGGUGAGUAACACGUGGAUAACCUACCUAUAAGACUGGGAUAACUUCGGGAAACCGGAGCUAAUACCGGAUAAUAUAUUGAACCGCAUGGUUCAAUAGUGAAAGACGGUUUUGCUGUCACUUAUAGAUGGAUCCGCGCCGCAUUAGCUAGUUGGUAAGGUAACGGCUUACCAAGGCAACGAUGCGUAGCCGACCUGAGAGAGUGAUCGGCCACACUGGAACGGAGACACGGUCCAGACUCCUACGGGAGGCAGCAGUAGGGAAUCUGCCGCAAUGGGCGAAAGCCUGACGGAGCAACGCCGCGUGAGUGAUGAAGGUCUUCGGAUCGUAAAACUCUGUUAUUAGGGAAGAACAAAUGUGUAAGUAACUAUGCACGUCUUGACGGUACCUAAUCAGAAAGCCACGGCUAACUACGUG